GCUAAUUCGUCGUGUUGAAGUGGAGAAAUGAUACUAUAACCUAACCUAAAUGAAAAACGCGCCGGGUGUCCACGGUCGGCCUGUUAAACCCGUGGGCGGUUAUAAUUCAACACGAUGUUAUUUUUUU
rnacentral:telomerase_RNA from 1 species